rnacentral:rRNA from 1 species
GACGAACGCUGGCGGCGUGCUUAACACAUGCAAGUCGAACGGAAAGGCCCUGCUUUUGUGGGGUGCUCGAGUGGCGAACGGGUGAGUAACACGUGAGUAACCUGCCCUUGACUUUGGGAUAACUUCAGGAAACUGGGGCUAAUACCGGCUAGGAGCUCCUGCUGCAUGGUGGGGGUUGGAAGGUUUCGGCGGUUGGGGAUGGACUCGCGCCUUAUCAGCUUGUUGGUGGGGUAGUGGCUUACCAAGGCUUGGACGGGUAGCCGGCCUGAGAGGGUGACCGGCCACAUUGGGACUGAGAUACGGCCCAGACUCCUACGGGAGGCAGCAGUGGGGAAUAUUGCACUAUGGGCGGAAGCCUGAUGCAGCAACGCCGCGUGCGGGAUGACGGCCUUCGGGUUGUAAACCGCUUUCGCCUGUGACGAAGCGUGAGUGACGGUAAUGGGUAAAGAAGCACCGGCUAACUACGUG